CGUACACUCCUGCGGGAGGCAGCAGUGGGGAAUAUUGGACAAUGGGCGCAAGCCUGAUCCAGCCAUGCCGCGUGAGUGAUGAAGGCCCUAGGGUUGUAAAGCUCUUUCACCGGUGAAGAUAAUGACGGUAACCGGAGAAGAAGCCCCGGCUAACUUCGUGCCAGCAGCCGCGGUAAUACGAAGGGGGCUAGCGUUGUUCGGAUUUACUGGGCGUAAAGCGCACGUAGGCGGACUAUUAAGUCAGGGGUGAAAUCCCGGGGCUCAACCCCGGAACUGCCUUUGAUACUGGUAGUCUUGAGUUCGAGAGAGGUGAGUGGAAUUCCGAGUGUAGAGGUGAAAUUCGUAGAUAUUCGGAGGAACACCAGUGGCGAAGGCGGCUCACUGGCUCGAUACUGACGCUGAGGUGCGAAAGCGUGGGGAGCAAACAGGAUUAGAAACCCGUGUAGUCCC
rnacentral:rRNA from 1 species